rnacentral:rRNA from 1 species
UGGGGAAUAUUGCGCAAUGGGCGAAAGCCUGACGCAGCGACGCCGCGUGAGGGAUGAAGGCCUUCGGGUUGUAAACCUCUUUCAGCAGGGACGAAGCGAAAGUGACGGUACCUGCAGAAGAAGCACCGGCCAACUACGUGCCAGCAGCCGCGGUAAUACGUAGGGUGCAAGCGUUGUCCGGAAUUAUUGGGCGUAAAGAGCUCGUAGGCGGCCUGUCGCGUCGGCUGUGAAAACCCGGGGCUCAACCCCGGGCCUGCAGUCGAUACGGGCAGGCUAGAGUCCGGCAGGGGAGACUGGAAUUCCUGGUGUAGCGGCGAAAUGCGCAGAUAUCAGGAGGAACACCGGUGGCGAAGGCGGGUCUCUGGGCCGGAACUGACGCUGAGGAGCGAAAGCGUGGGGAGCGAACAGGAUUAGAUACCCUGGUAGUCCACGCCGUAAACGUUGGGCGCUAGGUGUGGGGAACCUUCCACGUUCUCCGUGCCGCAGCUAACGCAUUAAGCG